rfam:Daucus carota subsp. sativus cultivar DH1 chromosome 5, whole genome shotgun sequence.
UAAAAGGGUCGGUUGGCUAAAUAUGCCACGCUCGCCCUUGUUCGGUGAGUGCUGUAUGGCUAUCAAGACAUAUGGCCGACAUAAUUUGUGCAACUCUUAGGGUUGGCUCGCAUUGGCCGAUCCUUCA